rnacentral:rRNA from 1 species
UACGUAGGGGGCAAGCGUUGUUCGGAAUUACUGGGCGUAAAGGGCUCGUAGGCGGCCAACUAAGUCCGACGUGAAAUCCCCAGGCUUAACCUGGGAACUGCGUCGGAUACUGGUUGGCUUGAAUUCGGGAGAGGGAUGCAGAAUUCCAGGUGUAGCGGUGAAAUGCGUAGAUAUCUGGAGGAACACCGGUGGCGAAGGCGGCAUUCUGGACCGAUAUUGACGCUGAGGAGCGAAAGCCAGGGGAGCAAACGGGG